GACAGAGGGUGCAAACGUUGUUCGGAAUUACUGGGCGUAAAGCGCGUGUAGGCGGCUCGGCAAGUCGGGUGUGAAAGCCCUGGGCUUAACCUAGGAAGUGCACUCGAAACUGCCAAGCUUGAGUUCUGGAGAGGAAGGCGGAAUUCUCGGUGUAGAGGUGAAAUUCGUAGAUAUCGAGAGGAACACCGGUGGCGAAGGCGGCCUUCUGGACAGCAACUGACGCUGAGACGCGAAAGCGUGGGGAGCGAACAGG
rnacentral:rRNA from 1 species